UUAACUCUUAUAAAAUUGAAGAAUUGAUGAAUUCAUAUCUUCAAGAAUUUAGAUUGGCUGUGGUCAUGGGAAUAUUCUUAUCAGAUCAGAUCCGGCCCUGCCACAGUGAUUUUUUGAAUGACUUCCGCUCUGUAUUCCACUAUUUCGCAGCAUCAAAGCAUUUUGGAGAUUUCAUGUGGAUUAUUUUUCUAUCGGUUCGUAAAUUUUCUAGCUUUAUUUGCUUUAUGCCUAUACUGACAUUUUCUUUUAUGUUUAACAGGUGACUCUCCCUUACUUCUUCCUCCUUGACUUGUUACCAAAUUAUUACAAAUGAUUCUUUUUCUUAAAUAUUUUUUCUUUUUAUCUGCAAAGACUAUGCUGAUUAUGUUGAGUGUUCAUGUGCAUGCUUAGUUUCUGAUAUUUAGUUAUUGCUAAGAGGGUAGUAUUAUGGCUCUUAAAGUAUCUGACAGUUUAGUAGUGUCUUGUUCUCAGGUCAGCAACUGCAAAAUCCUCUUCUGUUACUUGGGC
rnacentral:lncRNA from 1 species